AAGAGUCGGGUCAUCAAGGGGAACAACUGAGGAGGAAUGUACAUAGACGUGUUCCUUCUCCUUGAAGAAAUCCACAAACAGAUUUCUGAUCUGUGAACCCGUCAACUUGCUCUCCAUGACUGGUUAAGUUUUAUACCUGAAAUCUGGCACUUCUGCACAGCUAUGACUGUUCUGUUCAA